GCAUCAGCAGCACCGUGGUGCAUGCGUCGUGGGCAGGUGGUCCUGCGCUAUGCGGUCUUGUAUGCAGCGUGUGAAUGGCAGUCUGGGUAAUCUGAUUAGUGACUCCUGUGUCUGGAACAAUCUGGCCCCAGAGGAGAGUGGAGGAUCGGACUGGGACCUCCGGUGGAGCAAUGCCACAUUGGUCAAGGAAGUGAAUCAGCAGAAUCAACAGAUUUCCAUGUUGGAGCUUGAGAAGGCACAACUUCUUCAGCAGCUGGUGUUUUACAGCACACCUGAUUGAUGACAUCCGCACAUUUUCAACUUUAAUUACAAAAGGGUUUAAUUCAAAUCACACAGUUAACGGUAAAUAGUUAAAAAUGCUUUGAAAAGACUGAAUGUUAAAAUUAAUUUAAGCUCUGGUAUACACCCAGUCCACCCU
rnacentral:lncRNA from 1 species